CACGUAGGGUGCGAGCGUUAAUCGGAAUUACUGGGCGUAAAGCGUGCGCAGGCGGCGCGUUAAGACAGGUGUGAAAGCCCCGAGCUUAACUUGGGAAUUGCGCUUGUGACUGGCGUGCUGGAGUGUGGCAGAGGGAGGUGGAAUUCCACGUGUAGCAGUGAAAUGCGUAGAGAUGUGGAGGAACACCGAUGGCGAAGGCAGCCUCCUGGGCCAGCACUGACGCUCAUGCACGAAAGCGUGGGGAGCAAACAGG
rnacentral:rRNA from 1 species